GGUGGUUGUUCAGAAUGGUUGGGCCUAUACAACAGGGUAUGUUGUAUAGCGUUGGAUUAAUAUUGCUUAAUUAUUACU
rnacentral:misc_RNA from 1 species